GACGAAGGGGGCUAGCGUUGUUCGGAAUUACUGGGCGUAAAGCGCGUGUAGGCGGUUGCCCAAGUCGGGUGUGAAAGCCUUGAGCUCAACUCAAGAACUGCCUUUGAUACUGGGAAGCUUGAGUCCGGGAGAGGUGAGUGGAACUCCGAGUGUAGAGGUGAAAUUCGUAGAUAUUCGGAAGAACACCAGUGGCGAAGGCGGCUCACUGGCCCGGUACUGACGCUGAGGUGCGAAAGCGUGGGGAGCAAACAGG
rnacentral:rRNA from 1 species